AUUGAACGCUGGCGGCCGGCCUAACACAUGCAAGUCGCGCGAGCGGCGGACGGGUGAGUAAUGUAUGGGGACUGCCCGAUAGAGCGGGAUAACUACUGGAAACGGUGGCUAAUACCGCAUACUCUCGUUUAACCCAUAUGGGAUUAGCUAGCAGGGGGGGUAAAGGCGCACAUAGUGGACGAUCUCUAGCUGGGCUGAGAGGAUGAUCAUCCACAUGGGGACUGAGACACGGCCCAGACUCCUACGGAGGCAUCAGUGGGGAAUAUUGCACAAUGGGCGCAAGCCUGAUGCAGCCAUGCCGCGUGUAUGAAGAAGGCGUUAGGGUUGUAAAGUACUUUCAGCGGAGAGGCGUUACCCGCAGAAGAAGAACCGGCUAACUCCGAGCCAGCAGCCGCGGUAAUUC
rnacentral:rRNA from 1 species